CCGGUACCGUAAAUAAAUAAGCCCUACCCUGAAAAUAAGCCCUAGUGUGUUUUUUGUGACUAAAAUUAAUAUAAGACCCGGUCUUAUUUUCGGAGAAACACGGUAUCCAGCAAUCAACAAGUUACAUUUGUAACCUAUGUUUAUAUGUUAGUCACAUCCCAAUGUUAGAAAUGAACUUAUUUUUAACACUGGGUUGCUUCUCUUUGUAUUAUAUGUAAAGUUAAACUCCCCCUCCAAGUACUGAGACAAUCUAGCUUCAGCAUAAUUGUCCCUAUAGAUGGUAUCUGGUGUAGCCUAAAACGCCCCAUCGCGAUGCAUUGGCAACGUAGGGCACAUGCGCAUCAAUUGUCACAUUUGAUCAAUAUAAUUGCACUGAAACUAACAAACACUUGUUUAAAAGCAGGUGCGUAAACACUCCUGACUCUAUUGCCUGCUGGGAGGGUAUUCCUACAGCCAUUUGUAAAAGUGACAAACUCUAUUACCUUUGCCUAAAAAAAAAAAAAAAAAAAAGUCUUCACUAGAGUGUACCUAGUGGUUGGGUGAUUGACAGUCACUAGAGGAACACUGCCUUACAGGAGAUGUAAUACGUUACAUUUCUCACAAACAUCAGUCUCCAGGGACAACAUCUAGACACCAAGGCCAUUGCAUUAAAAGGACACUAUAGGCACUCCGACCACUUUAUCUCAAGGAAGUGGUGUGUUUGGGACCCCCUUCCUUUUAAUCCUGCAGGUGAAAACAUUGCUGUUCUGCAGAACAACAAUAUUUUCAGUGCUGGUUUUAAAUGCCUCUCAAAGGCGGUCAGUCGCUAGAGGCGCUUUGGAUGAAAUUGCAUGCACACUAGCCUUGCUAUACUUUCCUAUGGGAAAAUAUUGGAUUGACUGAGAUCAUCAGUAGCGGCCAUGCACCACAGGUUUUCCACACAUUGCACAAAUGGUUGACCCUUACAACAUGGCCUUAUGUACAAUGGUACAGUGUGAAUUUUCUGGACCCCCAAAGACCACUUCAUACAGAACCACCAAUAUGUAUUUGUUUGAAUUUAUUGUGUGCAUAUAAACUUUGCAUGACUAAUAUAAAUACUGUGUUGUGAACAGAUAACAUGUCCUGAUCGAAUUGAUUUUCCACCGUUCUUUUAAUUUUUAUUGACUGUUUUGGAGGUUCCCUUCACAAUUUUGAUCAACAAUAAAUGAUAUGCAUCAUUUGUCUAUAAUGUAGUUUUUGGAAGAAUGUAUUGAGGGAAUUCAUAAAUUAAUUAAAUUUGUACAUAUUGGUGAGAAUCCUCGUGCAUGGUUUUUAUUCAUUUAUUUGUAGUUGUAAGCCUGUGAAUCCCAUCUUUAACAAGGCAUUUGAAAGGAUGUAUCAAGGGAAGCAGGGAUUUGCGCAAUACUUUGUUUCCAUAGCAACCAGCCUUAUGGAAGACUAGCAAAG